UACAACCAAGAAUGAUAAAGGCUUCGUUAUGGACAAAUGACACAACGGGUGACUUGGAUGCAAUUCUCCCGUUCUGCACGAACGUUUUUUCCAGCACACCGCGAACUAAACGUCCCGACAACUCCCCCGGGAACCGCAACCCACUCGCUACACAUUCUAUGUCCCAACAACCAACGCAUAACUGUAGCCCAAGUGCAUUGCACAGAAUCACCCCGGCCCAAGAAGGGCUACAGGGCUGAAAAUGUACGGAUUCUCUAUGGAGACGACUCCAACGAGACCGGCCCUGCAGAAUCAGGAACGCUUGAUGAAAAAAGUCUAGAGCCCUAGGUAUCCACGAUUCGUCAGACCAGCCACCGCCAAAAAAUCUGAGACUCCUCCCAGGUGAAAAAUGGCACAGAAGGCCACAUACAGCUGGGGGAUUCCGGCUCACCGAACAUUCCCAAUGAAACAACCAAAGCGGAGGAUAUCCCUGUUUUUAAUGACAUUUCAGAGGUUGACGACCAGUUAUUCUGUGAUGCGGCCAACCUUCUUGACCCCGACAAUUCUAUGGCGUCAACAUCAGGAUCUGAAAUAGAACAAGCAAGGUUUUUCACAUUAUUUUCCAGGGCUUUGAAAUCGAGGAACGUUUUGCUAUACAAACGACUGGGGAUUUUAAUUGAUAAUUGAAACUGAACGAUCUGUUAGACACGGCAAGAGAUUAUGGCGAACCACGUGAUAUCUUACAGUUGGAGAUUUGUGGAGAUAGCCUGCAUAACACAGUAUCUCUUAUUUUACCCAAUGGCGAAGCAGAUCUUGAACAAUUUAUCGCGCUGCUAGAACGCCUUGUUCAGUCAAAUGUAGCCGUCAUAGCAGAUCGGACCCUCAAGCUUGUAGUGCAAAUAAUACGUCAACCUCAGGGUGGUGGUGGGCUGAGAAUGAAGCUUGAUAUCCUAAUGCAGUCAGAAAUCAUAAGCAAUAAAAGGGCCUACCUCAUAAACGUUCACAAUCCAGAAAAUAAGCUAUGUUUUGCAAUAGGCCUAGCGCAUUUACUUAACCCUGGAUGUACUGAUCUGACGGCAUUGCAAAAGGCUAGAGAGCUCCAAACGGCCGUGGGUCUCGGUAUACAGGAUGCUGUGGCUUUCUCUGACAUAGUCAAAUUUGAAAACUUUCUGAAUAUCAAGAUUGUGGUUUUGUACCACAGUAGAGCUAAUGCAGCUCUCUUGAAGUUCCAAAACAACCCCCAACCGCAUCCUCAGAUUCUGUACUUUUAUGUGCAAAACGAACAUUACUACGCCGUUACCAACAUCACGGCGUUCAUAGGGGCACCAUAUGUGUGUCCAUCCUGCCAUACCGGCUACACCCGAAAGGGGUUAUAACUGUUCAGUAUGUCAGGAUGCAGAUUGCCCAAUGCAGCCCUUAAACUUGACACCCUGUGAGGAUUGCCACCGCACAUGUCGUUCGACCUACUGUUACGAACAACACAAAAUUGAAACAUGGCACCCCAAGGCAUGUAAAUCUGUAAGCAUUUGUGACAAUAACAAGAAAUGCCCAAAAUGUAAUUGCAAUUACAACCUUAAAAUAGAUAGCCCUAAACCGCACGUGUGUGGAAUCAUACAUUGUCCAAUCUGUAAAGGGUCUUUGAAAAGCAGAGAUGCUGAAGUGGUUCAAGGAGUACCACACGAGUGUUAUAUUCAGCCCUUGACUGAAGAUGAACAUUCAGAUAAAUAUGUGUUCCAUGAUUUUGAGACAAAUCAGCAAUCGGGGGUUAAUUUACCUAUUUUUGGAUCUACCAUGACUUUCAAGGGGGAAAAGUGGUCGGCAGAAGGAUCCAAUUGUGCACUACUCUUUCUAAAACACUUUACAAAACCACAGUACAGUGUCAUGUUUUGUCAUUUAUUAUCAUGUCUUGUCCCUGUGCUCCCCAUUCUAUUCGUUUC